rnacentral:rRNA from 1 species
ACGACGACGUUGGUUGAUAGGCCGGGUGUGUAAGCGCAGCGAUGCGUUGAGCUAACCGGUACUAAUGAACCGUGAGGCUUAACCUU